AGGACGAACGCUGGCGGCGUGCUUAACACAUGCAAGUCGAGCGGAAAGGCCCUUCGGGGUACUCGAGCGGCGAACGGGUGAGUAACACGUGAGCAACCUGCCCUUAGCUCCGGGAUAGCUCCGGGAAACCGGAAUUAAUACCGGAUACAACACCGGCCGACAUCGGCCGGUGUGGAAAGAAUUUCGGCUAGGGAUGGACUCGCGGCCUAUCAGCUAGUUGGUGGGGUAAAGGCCUACCAAGGCGACGACGGGUAGCCGGCCUGAGAGGGCGACCGGCCACACUGGGACUGAGACACGGCCCAGACUCCUACGGGAGGCAGCAGUGGGGAAUCUUGCGCAAUGGGCGAAAGCCUGACGCAGCGACGCCGCGUGGGGGAUGAAGGCCUUCGGGUUGUAACCCCUUUCAGCAGGACGAAGCGAAAGUGACGGUACCUGCAGAAGAAGCGCCGGCUAACUACGCGCCAGCAGCCGC
rnacentral:rRNA from 1 species